rnacentral:rRNA from 1 species
AGCUCUGAUUGCUUAUUGCACCACAUGUGUUUUUCUUUGAAACAAACUUGCUUUGGCGGUGGGCCCAGCCUGCCGCCAGAGGUCUAAACUUACAACCAAUUUUUUAUCAACUUGUCACACCAGAUUAUUACUAAUAGUCAAAACUUUCAACAACGGAUCUCUUGGUUCUCGCAUCGAUGAAGAACGCAGCGAAAUGCGAUACGUAAUAUGAAUUGCAGAUAUUCGUGAAUCAUCGAAUCUUUGAACGCACAUUGCGCCCUCUGGUAUUCCGGAGGGCAUGCCUGUUUGAGCGUCGUUUCUCCCUCAAACCGCUGGGUUUGGUGUUGAGCAAUACGACUUGGGUUUGCUUGAAAGACGGUAGUGGUAAGGCGGGAUCGCUUUGACAAUGGCUUAGGUCUAACCAAAAACAUUGCUUGCGGCGGUAACGUCCACCACGUAUAUCUUCAAACUUUGACCUCAAAUCAGGUAGGACUACCCGCUGAACUUAAGCAUAUCAAAAGCCGGAGGAA